UAGCUUCCACGAGGCGAGUUAUUCUGCGUCUUAAGGCCGUAGAGCAAACAUGUGGCUGCGUCUGUUGUGUACUGUGUUUCUAUUGCAAAUCGUGUUCGUUGUUGGGGAGGAAACCGGGUCUUCACAUGCGACGCCUGCCGGAAUAAUGACCCGAAGAGACGGUGACUCGUCUCAGGGUUGUCCUGAGGGAUACAUUAGCUUUCGGGAAGGCUGCAUACAACCCUUCGACUUCUCGAAGGCCAAGAACAGCUGAAGGAAUAGAGAUCAAGAGAAGAGAAACACAUAAUAACUGCCGUGAAUUACUGUACCUUCCUCAGUGUAUCAACCGCAUUAACCGAACAUCAUUUCACUCUAAAUUAAGCAAAAGAACAAAUAAUAAAUGAUUACACUUAAUACAUAGAUAAAGAUUA